rnacentral:rRNA from 1 species
AGACGGGGGGGGCGAGCGUUGUUCGGAAUUACUGGGCGUAAAGGGCGCGCAGGCGGCCUGGGAAGUUUUGGGUGAAAGCCCCCGGCUCAACCGGGGAAUGGCCUGAGAAACCACCGGGCUGGAGUGCUGGAGAGGGAAGCGGAAUUCCCGGUGGAGCGGUGAAAUGCGUAGAUAUCGGGAGGAACACCGGAGGCGAAGGCGGCUUCCUGGACAGACACUGACGCUGAGGCGCGAAAGCGUGGGGAGCAAACAGGAUUAGAAACCCCGGUAGUCC